rnacentral:rRNA from 1 species
AUACGGAGGAUCCGAGCGUUAUCCGGAUUUAUUGGGUUUAAAGGGUGCGCAGGCGGGAGAUUAAGUCGGCGGUGAAAUUUUGCAGCUCAACUGUAAAAGUGCCUUCGAAACUGGUUUCCUUUGGUGUAGAUGAAGGUGGCGGAAUUUGGUGUGUAGGGGUGGAAUGCAUAGAUAUCACGAGGAACUCCGAUUGCGCAGGCAGCUUACCAAACUACUACUGACGCUCAGGCACGAAGGCGUGGGGAUCAAACAGGAUUAGAUACCCUGGUAGUCCACGCAGUAAACGAUGAUUACUAGCUGUUUGCGAUACAAUGUAAGCGGCUGAGCGAAAGCGUUAAGUAAUCCACCUGGGGAGUACGUUCGCAAGAAUGAAACUCAAAGGAAUUGACGGGG